UACGGAGGGUGCAAGCGUUAUCCGGAUUCACUGGGUUUAAAGGGUGCGUAGGUGGGUCUGUAAGUCCGUGGUGAAAUCUCCAAGCUUAACUUGGAAACUGCCAUGGAUACUAUAGGUCUUGAAUACCGUGGAGGUGAGCGGAAUAUGUCAUGGUAGCGGUGAAAUGCUUAGAUAUGACAUAGAACACCAAUUGCGAAGGCAGCUCACUACACGAAUAUUGACACUGGAGGCACGAAAGCGUGGGAGCAAACAGG
rnacentral:rRNA from 1 species